rnacentral:sRNA from 1 species
AGCUGAGGUGGCAGUGGCUCCACCAACAUGGAGCUCUCGCAGAUGUCGGAGCUCAUGGGGCUGUCGGUGUUGCUUGGGCUGCUGGCCCUGAUGGCGACGGCGGCGGUAGCGCGGGGGUGGCUGCGCGCGGGGGAGGAGAGGAGCGGCCGGCCUGCCUGCCAAAAAGCAAAUGGAUUUCCACCUGACAAAUCUUCGGGAUCCAAGAAGCAGAAACAAUAUCAGCGGAUUCGGAAGGAGAAGCCUCAACAACACAACUUCACCCACCGCCUCCUGGCUGCAGCUCUGAAGAGCCACAGCGGGAACAUAUCUUGCAUGGACUUUAGCAGCAAUGGCAAAUACCUGGCUACCUGUGCAGAUGAUCGCACCAUCCGCAUCUGGAGCACCAAGGACUUCCUACAGCGAGAGCACCGCAGCAUGAGAGCCAACGUGGAGCUGGACCACGCCACCCUGGUGCGCUUCAGCCCUGACUGCAGGUGGGACAGGACGGAGCCUCAGGUUUGCCUGCAGAGGCCUAGUCCCAGGCUUUGGCCUUCCCAUAUCUGCUUUGAGGUAGUGAGGAGGGACCUGGACCCAGGGCCU